AAAUUUAUUAUUCUGCAUGAAAUAAUGCAUAUCAAAAAAUAGUACACACUUUAUCAUUUCAUUUAUAUAAAAUUUCAUUUAUAUACAGUUCUAGUAACAGAAAACUGAUUAGUGGUUGUCUGUAGCUAGGAGUGGAAAGGAUAGAUUCCAAAGGAAGAAACUUUGGGAGUGAUGGAAAUAGAAAUAGUAUCUUGAUGGUGGUGAUAUUUGAUAUCUUCAAAAUUCAUCAAACUGUACAUUUUAAGAACAUGCUAUUUACUGCAUGCAAAUUAUAACUAAAUAAAGUUUUAAAACAUGAAUAACAAUGGUUAAAGAUAUACAGAGAAUUUUACCUCCCAUGACUAAGAAAUAAGUAUAUAUUUUUACAUGCUAUAUAAAGUUUAUAAAAAGAACAAUUUGAUGUUUUCACAAUAAAAAAUUAUUUUUAUUUUUUUAAAUAUUGUAUUUAUUUAUUCAUUAAAGACCCAGAGAGAGAGAGAAGCAGAGAGGUAGGCAGAGGGAGAAGCAGGAAGCCCCAUGUAGGACUCAUUGUGGGACUCCAGGAUCAUGCCCUGAGCCAAAGGCAGACGCUCAACCACUGAGCCACUCAGGCGUCCCAAUAAAAAACUUUUAAAUUCCAAAACAACUGUGCAACUAAAAGACACCCACAUAUUUCAUAAGCUAUAUAUGUUGGCAAAUACUACUAACAAUUCCUGGUAAAUCCUUAAACCAAAAUGAAAUUACCAAUUAAAAAAGAAACCUUUCGUUUGUUUCCCAGGGGAGGUGGGCAGAGGGAUGGGGUGAUUGGGUGAUGGGCACUGAGGGGGGCACUUGACAGGAUGAGCACUGGGUGUUAUACUAUAUGUUGGCAAAUCAAACUACAAUAAAAAAAUACAUAAGAAGAGUGGUUAAGACGGUAAGUUUCAUGCGUGUUUUACAACUAAAAGUAAAAACAUACAUAUAUAUAUAAAGAAAACUUUCACUUAACCGUUAGCACAAAUUAAAAACUCUACUAAGAAUACAUUACUGCAAAGCCUUCAUCAUUAAAGAAAUAAUGAAAAUAAAGGAAAUUGGAAUUCGUCUUUCAAAAAAUACAAACCAAAUAACACAAUCAAACAAGGAAGUUGAAAUUCAUAUGAUUGAAAGGAUUUGAUGAAAACAAAAAUUUGUAAGAAAAAUAAACAUGCUGAUUUCAGGGAAAAAAAUUCACAUGCAUGCAUACAUAAAUGAGAAAGAAUUAAAAGGGAAACCCAACAAGAAGCACAGGAGAGAUUUUUUAAAAUUACAGUAGGAAACAUGUUAUAGGCAAAUAUAUGGCAAUAAAUUUGAAAACUUAGAGGAAAUGGAGUAGCCAAUAUAAAUUACCAUGGUUGGCUCAAGAAAUAAUAUAUUUGACAAUUUAAUGUAGACAAAUUGAUGUUUUAUUUCAGAGUGGGAAGGAUAAGGAUUUUUUUAAAUGGCAUUGACACAAUUGGCUACUUUGGAAUGAAAACAAGAUUGAACCCCUACCUUACAUUACACAAAUAAGAAAAUAUAGAACAGUGGCAGGGGUGGAAGUGAAAGAGAAAAAUAGAAAUGCAAAAAAAAAAAAAUUAAGGUGACUUCAUGUAUAAUUUCACAGUAAAGCCGACUCUUAUCCAAGAUUAGAAAAUAGGGGUAUUUUAAAAGCCAUAUUUAGCCAUAUAAAAAUUUAAAUAUUUACAGCAAAAUAUAACAAAUUCCAAUGCUGAGGAUGGAAAUUCAGUACCUCUAAUAUAUAUUUUUAAAAGUCUUUUAAAUUGACAAGAAGUAAACUCCUCAAGAGGAAAAUAGGUGAAGUUAUGAAUAGGAAUUCACAGGACAAAUCCAAAUAGCCAGCAGAAUAUGGAAAAGGGCUUAAAAUCACUAGCAGGAAAAUAUGAACUAAUCUAACAAGUUAUGGUUCUAUUAACAUAUUGGAAAAGACCAAUAACCCUCUUGCCAGUGGGAAUAUAGGAAGGACAGGGUUAUUCUAGCACAUUGUUGAUAAAAUCUAAAAUGUUACUGUCUUUGUUGGAAUACUUCCAACAAUAAUUACUUUAAAAAUAUGUGUACCCAGUGAUUCUCCUAAGAAUUUAUUCCGCAAAAAUGAAAGUCUCUGUGUAUGAAGAUAUACGUUUUAAGGAUGUUUAACACAAUGUUUUUUGAAGUGGCCAAAAACAAAACAAAUCAAGACAAAAGAAAAAAUGACACUGGAUAUAAAUUUAAUAUCCAUCAAUUAGGAAAAGACUUAUAAUAAUUCUCACCAUGAAACAGUGUGCUGUCAUGAUAAAUUACCAGUUAGAACUUCAACAAAAACAAAAUGCAGAAAAGUAUAUGUAUCAGUUAAGAAUGUGUUUGACUACAUAGAAGGGAAAACCUGAUGAUCAUGGCUUAAGCAAAUAGUGUUUGUUUAUUCUAAGAAAUCCAGAGGCCAGCAGAUGCUGGUUCUAAUUCAACCACUCAAAUGACAACAGGCACUUGGCUUCUUCUCUUCCUAUAAUGCCACCACUAAUAUUCUGCCUUUGUUCUCCCACCUGUCCCAUCAUGAUUCAAAAAUGGCAUUGUUAUUUCAAGUAUCAUUUCUACUUCCUAAGAAGGAUGAAAGGAGAGGAAUUAAAAUUAGCAAAAUCAAAUUUAUCCUAUUUAUUAGGAACUAAUAUUCUCCUAGAAAUCUUACAAUAGAUUUCUCCUUGGAUUUAGUUGUCCAGCACUGGGCUCUUGCCCUCCUCAUUCCCAGGGACCUCGCAUUUCUAAGAGCAAGGAUAUCUGCUGUGAAUUCAAAGUUUAAGCUGAUCAGCCUCCAUUUGUAGAAAAAAGUCCAGUAAACAGUGUUUUAUAAUCUGCAAAUCUUACAAAAAUAAAUUCUAUUUGUAUAAUAUAAUCUUAAUUUUGCAAACCAAUGACAAAUCUCUAUGUGAAUAUUCAUAUGUACUUUUGUCUAUGAGCAUAUGCACAUGAAGAAAAAUAAAUACACACACAUACUAAGCUUUUCAGUGGAUUUCAACACAGGUCCUAUGGAUGGAGAAGUCAUGAAGAGAGAGAGGAGAAUCUAAAAAACGUUACUGAAUUUUUCAGCAAGAUGGCAGAAGAAUAGAAGUCCUUGUUUCAUCUGGUCCCCUAAAUUUAGAUAGAUAACUAUCAAACCAUCCUGAACACCAAUGAAUUCAACCUAAGAUGUAAAGAAAGAAUGUCUGGAACUCUACAAAUAGAAAAGUGAGCAAGGUAGGAGUGUGGAAAAGAGAAACAAAGGGGAUAUAUAUGGGAAGAUAAACAGCAAGGGGAGGGAGGCUUUGUAAGCUGGCUGCAGGAAAACGACAUAGCCCUGAAGCUCAAAACCGAGACCUUUGGAAAUCUGCUCCUGUGAAAGAUUUCCUUGCCUGAAAUCUGUGGUGAAGUGGGGCAGUGGUGAAGUGGGGCAGAAUCGCAGAUGGGACAGUGGGGUCUCAAUAUUCCCAAAGACACAGAAAGAACAGGGGUGCUUGAGUCAGCAGAGUUCCCAAGCAUUUGAGGUGGAAAAGGGGCUAAGUCAGCAAGCCUGGGAGAGGCUCAGCUUGUUGUGCCAUAAAGCACAAACCAUGGAGGAUGAGAUGACUGCUCUCUGUGUUGGGUUCCCAUAAAGGACAGAAAGGGGUUGACCCUCUGCUUCUUCCAGGAAGGGUGGAGUGGGUUCACACACUAGUGGGCUGGGGCCCUGGAAAUUGCACAAAUCAGUUCCCCCACCUGCCUCUGAGGAGGAUCUGAGUAGGUGGGCACCAUAGGAGUCUGCAGAGUUUGGCCUGAGAUCUCUCAGGCUCCAUGGUUGGAUCUGGGCCUGGCCGUUUUUUUUCCUUUCCCCCUCAAAAGAGGCACAGAAGGCCUCCAGGGAACAAAGGCCUCACAUGGCAAAUUGCUUACACUGAGUCUGGCCACCUGACAAGGGGAAGGAUGUCUCUGCCCAGGCUCAGACACCUGAGAAUCAGUGCAGCAGGCCCCUCCUCUAGAAGACCAGCUGGAAGAACAGAUAAACAGGAAGUUUAUUAACCAAUCAGGCCUGGAAAACUCCAGGACUGAGCGAAAAUAGUACAUAGAACUCAAGGUUUCUCUCUUAUGAUUCCUUUAUCUUUCAGGUUAAAAUUUUCUAAUAUAUUUUCUUUUUUCCCAUCUCAACUAGUUUAUUAUUUUAUCAAGUUUUCAUGUUUAAGUUUUUACGCUUUUAACUUUCAUAUUUUAUAAUUACAUGUUAUAGAUAUUUUCUUAAUUUAUGGCUUCCUUUCAGAGUAUUCAAUUUUAUUUAUAUAUAUGUGUGUGUACAUAUAUAUGUACACAAAAUAUAUAUAUAUAUAUAUAUAUAUAUAUUGCUUUUUUAAUAAUUUUGGAAUUUAGUACCUUCUAACAUACAGACCAAAAUACACUCAGAGCCAAGUGAAUCACCAUUUUGGUCAACUCUGUGAAAUUACAUUCUCUCUCCUCCUCAUUCCCCUCCCCCCUUUAAAAAUUUUUUUCC
rnacentral:lncRNA from 1 species